UAAAGAGCUCGUAGGCGGUUGAGUAAGUCGGGUGUGAAAACUCUGGGCUUAACCCGGAGACGCCAUCCGAUACUGCUCUGACUAGAGUUCAGGAGGGGAGUGGGGAAUUCCUAGUGUAGCGGUGAAAUGCGCAGAUAUUAGGAGGAACACCGGUGGCGAAGGCGCCACUCUGGACUGAAACUGACGCUGAGGAGCGAAAGCAUGGGUAGCAAACAGGAUUAGAUACCCUGGUAGUCCAUGCCGUACACGGUGGGCACUAGGUGUGGGUUCCAACUAACGGGAUCCGCGCCGUCGCUAACGCAUGAGGUGCCCCGGCUGGGGAGUACGGUCGCAAGACUAAAACUCGCAGGAAUUGACGGGGGCCCGCACGAGCAGCGGAGCGUGUUGCUUAAUUCGAUGCUACGCGAAGAACCUUACCUGGCUUUGACAUGUUUGCAAAAGCCACAGAGAUGCGGCGUCCGCAAGGCCCGAUCACAGGUGGUGCAUGGCUGUCGUCAGCUCGUGUCGUGAGAUGUUGGGUUAAGUCCCGCAACGAGCGCAACCCUUAUUCUAUGUUGCCAGCAAGUAAUGUUGGGGACUCAUGGAAGACCGCCGGGGUCAACUCGGAGGAAGGUGGGGAUGACGUCAAGUCCUCAUGCCCCUUAUGUCCAGGGCUGCAAACACGCUACAAUGGCCGAUACAAAGGGUCGCUUGCCCGCGAGGGUUGGCCAAUCCCAUAAAGUCGGUCUCAGUUCGGAUUGAAGUCUGCAACUCGACUUCAUGAAGCUGGAGUUGCUAGUAAU
rnacentral:rRNA from 1 species